CGGCCCAGACUCCUACGGGAGGCAGCAGUGGGGAAUUUUGGACAAUGGGGGAAACCCUGAUCCAGCAAUGCCGCGUGUGCGAAGAAGGCCUUCGGGUUGUAAAGCACUUUUGUCAGGGAAGAAAUCCUUUGGGCUAAUACCCUAGGGGGAUGACGGUACCUGAAGAAUAAGCACCGGCUAACUACGUGCCAGCAGCCGCGGUGAUACGUAGGGUGCGAGCGUUGUCCGGAUUUAUUGGGCGUAAAGGGCUCGUAGGUGGUUGAUCGCGUCGGAAGUGUAAUCUUGGGGCUUAACCCUGAGCGUGCUUUCGAUACGGGUUGACUUGAGGAAGGUAGGGGAGAAUGGAAUUCCUGGUGGAGCGGUGGAAUGCGCAGAUAUCAGGAGGAACACCAGUGGCGAAGGCGGCUCUCUGGGCCUUUCCUGACGCUGAGGAGCGAAAGCGUGGGGAGCGAACAGGAUUAGAUACCCUGGUAGUCCACGCCGUAAAC
rnacentral:rRNA from 14 species